rnacentral:rRNA from 1 species
AUCGAACGCUGGCGGCAGGCCUAACACAUGCAAGUCGAACGAACCUUUCGGGGUUAGUGGCGGACGGGUGAGUAACACGUGGGAACGUGCCUUUAGGUUCGGAAUAACUCAGGGAAACUUGUGCUAAUACCGAAUGUGCCCUUCGGGGGAAAGAUUGAUCGCCUUUAGAGCGGCCCGCGUCUGAUUAGCUAGUUGGUUGAGUUAAUGGCUCACCAAGGCGACGAUCAGUAGCUGGUCUGAGAGGAUGAUCAGCCACAUUGGGACUGAGACACGGCCCAAACUCCUACGGGAGGCAGCAGUGGGGAAUCCUGCGCAAUGGGCGAAAGCCUGACGCAGCCAUGACGCGUGAAUGAUGAAGGUCUUAGGAUUGUAAAAUUCUUUAACCGGGGACGAUAAUGACGGUACCAGGAGAAGAAGCCCCGGCUAACUUCGUG